rnacentral:rRNA from 1 species
CGCGAUAGGUAAUGUGAAUUGCAGAAUUCCGUGAAUCAUCGAAUCUUUGAACGCACCUUGCGCUCCAUGGUAUUCCGUGGAGCAUGCCUGUUUGAGUGCCGCGAAUUCUCCCUCCCCUUACGGUGGCCGAAAGGCCGAAGUAGGGCGGACGGGGUAGGAUGGGUGUUGCUGCCUGGGGAUUGUACCAGGCUCGCCCGAAAUGCAUAAGCGCCAGGACCCUCGCUACCGCUCUCUAGGGAAGAGUGGCUAAGCGACCGCUGAGCAUGGCAUGAUACGUCAUUUGCUGUGUGUGGGCGGCCGGUUGGAGAGGUGUCUGCUUUACCAGCCCUUUUUUAAUUCUGGUCUCAAAUCAGGUAGGAUCACCCGCU